rnacentral:rRNA from 1 species
AGGACGAACGCUGGCGGCGUGCUUAACACAUGCAAGUCGAGCGGAAAGGCCCUUCGGGGUACUCGAGCGGCGAACGGGUGAGUAGCACGUGAGUAAUCUGCCCCUAGCUCUGGGAUAGCUCCGGGAAAACCGGGAUUAAUACCGGAUACGACCACCUUAGACAUCUUUUGUGGUGGAAAGAAUUUCGGCUAGGGAUGAGCUCGCGGCCUAUCAGCUUGUUGGUGGGGUAAUGGCCUACCAAGGCGACGACGGGUA